rnacentral:rRNA from 1 species
CGGUGGAGUAACCAUUUAUGGAGCUAGCCGUCGAAGGUGGGACAAAUGAUUGGGGUGAAGUCGUAACAAGGUAGCCGUAUCGGAAGGUGCGGCUGGAUCACCUCCUUU